CAUUUUGAACUUUUUCACUAAAAAAUUAUGGUGUUGCGUUUCCACGCAUCGCGUGCAUUUCUUCCCCUUACCACUUCUUGUUUUCUGAAAUUAGGGUUUACUUCGCCAACGAAAUCCUUCGCCAAGAUGGCAUCAGAAAAUUACACGUUUGGGCGGUACAAGAUUGAUCCGAAGGAAGUAUUCUACUGCACCAGUCUCUCUUACGCCAUGGUCAACCUCCGUCCUCUUGUUCCUGGUCACGUGCUUGUCUGCCCAAAGCGUGAAGUUCAGCGCUUUGCUGAUCUCACUCCUGACGAGACUUGUGACCUAUGGCUCGCUGCUCAACGGGUUGGUCGUCAGUUAGAGUCAUACCAUGAAGCUUCAUCAAUCACAUUUGCAAUUCAAGAUGGUCCUCAGGCAGGACAAACUGUACCCCAUGUCCACAUCCAUAUUCUCCCAAGGAAGGGUGGUGACUUUGAGAAAAAUGAUGAGAUUUAUGAUGCUAUUGAUGAGAAGGAGAAAGAGAUGAAGCAGCAUCUUGAUUUGGACAAGGAGAGGAAAGAUAGAAACCUAGAGGAGAUGGCUGAAGAGGCAGACCGGUACAGAAAGCUUUUGUUGUAACUUUCUUUGAUGAGCUUCUGAUUAUCAUUGAGUAUUAAGUAGUAUUUUCCUUUUUUUUUAUGAAAGAUUUGAACUUUGGACC